GCCCGGAUGAGCCUCGGUGGUCCGGGGUGCAGGCUUCAAACCUGGAGCUGCUUAGCGGCAGAGCGGCUCAAUUCCUCCUUGCGGGGUG